rnacentral:rRNA from 1 species
UAGGGAAUAUUGGGCAAUGGGCGAAAGCCUGACCCAGCGACGCCGCGUGGGGGAAGAAGUCCCUCGGGAUGUAAACCCUUGUUGUACGGGACGAAGGAAGUGACGGUACCGUACGAGGAAGCCCCGGCAAACUACGUGCCAGCAGCCGCGGUAAUACGUAGGGGGCGAGCGUUGUCCGGAAUCACUGGGCGUAAAGCGCACGUAGGCGGGCUGUUAAGUCGGCCGUGAAAGGCACUGGCUCAACCGGUGUUUGUCGGUCGAUACUGGCAGUCUGGAGUAUGGGAGAGGGAACUGGAAUUCCCGGUGGAGCGGUGAAAUGCGUAGAUAUCGGGAGGAACACCAGUGGCAAGGCGGGUUCCUGGCCCAUGACUGACGCUGAGGUGCGAAAGCCGGGGGAGCGAACGG